rnacentral:rRNA from 1 species
CAGGACGAACGCUGGCGGCACGCCUAACACAUGCAAGUCGAACGGAGCUGUUUUGGUUUACUGAGACAGCUUAGUGGCGGACGGGUGAGUAAUACGUGAGCAACCUGCCUUUGAGAGAGGGAUAGCUUUUGGAAACGAAUGGUAAUACCUCAUAACAUAGCGAUACCGCAUGGUAAUGCUAUCAAAGAUUUAUCACUCAAAGAUGGGCUCGCGUCUGAUUAGAUAGUUGGUGAGGUAACGGCCCACCAAGUCGACGAUCAGUAGCCGGACUGAGAGGUUGAACGGCCACAUUGGGACUGAGACACGGCCCAGACUCCUACGGGAGGCAGCAGUGGGGAAUAUUGCACAAUGGGGGAAACCCUGAUGCAGCAACGCCGCGUGAGUGAUGAAGGUCUUCGGAUUGUAAAGCUCUGUCUUUAGGGACGAUAAUGACGGUACCUAAGGAGGAAGCCACGGCUAACUACGUGCCAGCAGCCGCGGUAAUACGUAGGUGGCAAGCGUUAUCCGGAUUUACUGGGCGUAAAGGGAGCGUAGGCGGAUAUUUAAGUGGGAUGUGAAAUACCCGAGCUUAACUUGGGAGCUGCAUUCCAAACUGGAUAUCUAGAGUGCAGGAGAGGAGAAUGGAAUUCCUAGUGUAGCGGUGAAAUGCGUAGAGAUUAGGAAGAACACCAGUGGCGAAGGCGAUUCUCUGGACUGUAACUGACGCUGAGGCUCGAAAGCGUGGGGAGCAAACAGGAUUAGAUACCCUGGUAGUCCACGCCGUAAACGAUGAUUACUAGGUGUGGGGGGAUUGACCCCUUCCGUGCCGCAGCUAACGCAAUAAGUAAUCCACCUGGGGAGUACGACCGCAAGGUUGAAACUCAAAGGAAUUGACGGGGGCCCGCACAAGCAGUGGAGUAUGUGGAUUAAUUCGAUGAUACGCGAGGAACCUUACCCGGGCUUGAGCUGCCAGUGACUCAUGCAGAGACGCAUGUUUCUUCGGACACUGGCGGAGGUGCUGCAUGGUUGUCGUCAGCUCGUGCCGUGAGGUGUCGGCUUAAGUGCCAUAACAAGCGCAACCCUUCUCCCUGUUUGCCAUCGGGUAAUGCCGGGCACUCCAGGGACACUGCCAUCGUAAGAUGUGAGGAAGGUGGGGAUGACGUCAAAUCAGCACGGCCCUUACGUCCGGGGCUACACACGUGUUACAAUGGGCGGUACAGAAAGCAGCUACCCCGCGAGGGGAUGCCAAUCUCAAAAACCGUUCUCAGUUCGGACUGGAGUCUGCAACCCGACUCCACGAAGCUGGAUUCGAUAGUAAUCGCGCAUCAGCCAUGGCGCGGUGAA